rnacentral:rRNA from 1 species
GACGAACGCUGGCGGCGUGCUUAACACAUGCAAGUCGAACGGAAAGGCCCUGCACUUGUGGGGUGCUCGAGUGGCGAAAGGGUGAGUAACACGUGAGUAACCUGCCCUUGACUUUGGGAUAACAUCAGGAAACUGGGGCUAAUACCGGAUAUGAGCUCCUGCUGCAUGGUGGGGGUUGGAAAGAUUCGGCGGUUGGGGAUGGACGCGCGGCUUAUCAGCUUGUUGGUGGGGUAGUGGCUUACCAAGGCUUUGACGGGUAGCCGGCCUGAGAGGGUGACCGGCCACAUUGGGACUGAGAUACGGCCCAGACUCCUACGGGAGGCAGCAGUGGGGAAUAUUGCACGAUGGGCGGAAGGCUGAUGCAGCAACGCCGCGUGCGGGAUGACGGCCUUCGGGUUGUAAACCGCUUUCGCCUGUGACGAAGCGUGAGUGACGGUAAUGGGUAAAGAAGCACCGGCUAACUACGUG